AGAAACUGAUCUAUCAACAUGGAGGACCUAACAUCUAGUUCAGCCGCGCGAAGAAGUUGGAGAAUCUCUAGAAGGUAACUCUAUAUGUUAGAACUAGUUAUAUAUAAGAGAAUAAAAUUAUUAAAAAAUAGAAAUUAACGUUAAAAUAAAAUGUUAUAAUUACACAUUGUAAUUUAUUUGUCGUCAUUACAAAUCAUAAAAUCUAUUAUAAUUGAUGAAUAUAAUUUUCUUCAAAAUUACGAUCUGAAAAUAAUUUUUAGUUUCAUAUAUCUGUAUCUAUCUAUCUAUACUACCUUAAAAGCAUGAACUCUCAAAAAUGAAUGUUGAAUUACUAUAAUACCCCAAUUAAAAAAUACACAAUUUAUUAUUUUUAUUAAUUAAUUACUUAUAUUAUAUUAAAUAUAGAUACUUUUUUCACAUUAAACAGUUGUGACUUUUGCGAUGAAUUGUGACUUUUUUGGAGGGUUGAAACUUUUUUGAGGGGUUGUGACAUUUUCGAUGAGUUGUGACUUUUCAGAAGGGUUGUGAUUUUUUCAAAGAGUUGUGACUUUUUCAAAGCAUUGUGUCUUUUAUGAUAUGUUGUAACUUUUUCAAAGGGUUGUGACUUUUCUGAUGAGCAGUGCCUUUUUCGAAGGGUUGUAACUUUUCUGAUAAGGCACAAUUAGCACAUAUUCAUAACACAAUUUGUUAGCUAUAAAUAGAAGUGUUUCCUCUCAUUUUUAUACUAUAGUUUUCAAGUUUUCUACAUUUCUUCUUCUUAAAAAAUCUCAAGUGUUAUUUGCAACAAUUGAUCAAGUUCGAAAUUCAACGAAACUUGAGGUACUACAUAAGAAAGAGUUGGUGAAUAAAUUGUAGCAACUUAUUCAUCAAUUCAUACUUGCAUUAUCCUCGUACGAUUUUCAUCACGUACAUACUUCAAUAUUAUUUGUAUCAUUUUAGAAUAUAAAUAUACUUUUAAUUAACCUACAUAUUUUAUUUGUUAAAAAAGACAUAUUUCCUACGAAUAGUCACAACAAUUUCAACCUUCAUCUUUCUUCGAUCAUAAAUCACAAUCAUCCACUCCUUAUAAAUUCUUGGGGAUCUCUUUUCUGUGACUAUUUGAGAUCACUUAACAAUUUCAUAAAUGAUUCAUCUCUAAUCCAUUAAUAUGUUUCUUUGAUGCUCUUAUCAUUGGAAUUUAGGUAUUGGCUUUCUAUUAAAGAAGAGAACAGAGAAAUGUGCAAUUAACUAUGAACUGUGAUUCACAAAGAAAACUAUUAUAAAUAGUGCAAGGGGAUUUUCAUUUAAUUUUAUUGUUUUGAUUCUUUAAUUAAUUUCUUUUGUGUUUUCAUUCAAGAGAGAACUUAAUAAUUUGUGUUUACGUAAUCAGUGAAAAUUGACGAAUACAUACAUUGUAGAUUAUUUUUCCUAAGAAAAUUAAUUGAUCAAGUUGUGGGAGAG
rnacentral:lncRNA from 1 species